GUCGGCACUGGAAGGCGCUUUCCGUCCCUCGCGCCCCCUCCCCUCUCUUCCUUCUCAGGCGGCCGGAGGGCGGGAGCAUGGAGUCACGCGGGCGGUCGCGUCGCCGCCCACAACGGCGAGGCGGGGCGGGGCCAAAGGGGAGGUGUGGCUGGAGGAGGAGGAAGAGCUGAAGGGAGGAGAUGGGGAGGAGCUGAAGCCGGCGCUGGCGGAGACGGUGCGUCAUGACGUCAGGAGAAGCGUCCUUAUAUACCGGCGCUUGGACGCCAUCUCGGUCUUUUGAGGCUAGGAGGCGGCUUUGGGAAUGGUGCUAGGCGCGAGUGCAGUGCGGCUUUUGAUGGCUCCUGAUGGAAAAGUUCUGUGCCAAAGGGGUGGAAGUGGCUGCCAAGAUCCAAAGCUCAAGUUUCACAUCCUAGCCAUGGGCAAACAGGCAUUCAACAGAAUUAGCUGGAAGUUGAAAGGGUGAACUUGAGCCUUUGACCUGUCUGCACCAACUAUUUUUGGGCUUACAGACCACUAUCAUGGAUGGCUUGCUUGGGGGUGCUGAUUUUAAAGACCUCGUAUAAAGGUGUGAAGAGUUUUGAGGCCAGCUUACAAGACCUGGGAACACAGGAGUUUAAUAAGUAAGCCAUGGCAGACCAGUCAACCUGAAGAUUUAGAGAGAGGGCAUUUACAAGAGCAGCAAUGCAGUUAUGAGAACAUCUUACCAGUUAAAGGGUACCCGAAUGGAUGCUCAUGGGAUAGAAGAUCAUACUUUCAAUUUCAAUAAAUUUUUAUAAACCAUC